GUAACUAUGACCCCCUUAAGGUAGUUCUAAUUCACUUAAAUGGUGAUGAGC
rnacentral:rRNA from 1 species